rnacentral:rRNA from 1 species
GACAGAGGGUGCAACCGUUGUUCGGAAUUACUGGGCGUAAAGCGCGUGUAGGCUGCUCGGAAAGUCGGAUGUGAAAGCCCUGGGCUUAACCUAGGAAGUGCAUUCGAAACUUCCGAGCUGGAGUUCUGGAGAGGAAGGCGGAAUUCUCGGUGUAGAGGUGAAAUUCGUAGAUAUCGAGAGGAACACCGGUGGCGAAGGCGGCUUCCUGGACCGGUUCUGACACUGAGGAGCGAAAGCGUGGGGAGCGAUCCGG